UACGGAGGGAGCUAGCGUUGUUCGGAAUUACUGGGCGUAAAGCGCGCGUAGGCGGCUCAUCAAGUCAGGGGUGAAAGCCCGGGGCUCAACCCUGGAACUGCCUUUGAAACUAGUGAGCUAGAAUCUUGGAGGGGCGAGUGGAAUUCCGAGUGUAGAGGUGAAAUUCGUAGAUAUUCGGAAGAACACCAGUGGCGAAGGCGACUCGCUGGACAAGUAUUGACGCUGAGGUGCGAAAGCGUGGGGAGCAAACAGG
rnacentral:rRNA from 1 species